AUUCUGGAGGUGGGCUGCGGAUCAGGAGCCAUCUCCCUCAGCCUGCUGAGCCAGCUCCCCCAGAGCCGAGUCAUUGCUGUGGAUAAGCGGGAAGCUGCUAUCUCUCUGACCCAUGAGAAUGCUCAGAGCUAUGAAGACCCCGCGGCCCUGGAUGGUGGGGAGGAGGGCAUGGACAUCAUUACCCACAUUCUGGCCUUGGCACCCCGGCUCCUGAAAGACUCUGGUAGUAUCUUCUUAGAAGUGGACCCAAGGCACCCGGAGCUUGUCAGCAGCUGGCUUCAGAGCCGGCCUGACCUGUACCUUAAUCUUGUGGCUGUGCGCAGGGACUUCUGUGGGAGGCCCCGGUUCCUGCAUAUCCGGAGGUCUGGGCCAUAGCAUGGCUGCCCUGUGGAUGCCUUGUCAGUGCCGCCAGCCUGACCAGAGGGGAGGUGGAUGGCACUUUCCAGAGCCCAGGUUCUUAUGGCAUUUCCCAGGGUUCUGUGAUUUCCCCAUGCUCUGCAUUUCUAGGAUAUUUCUAGGACACCUGGAUUGGCUCCAUCACAUCAGAGUGGCUGAGGGCAGUUGCUCUGUGUUGGUGAAAUUGCUGUGGGGGUAUCGGGGGAUAUGGCCAGUAAAGUAUUGAGAGACUAACAAA
rnacentral:lncRNA from 1 species